AUUGAACGCUGGCGGCAGGCCUAACACAUGCAAGUCGAACGGUAACAGGAAGAAGCUUGCUUCUUUGCUGACGAGUGGCGGACGGGUGAGUAAUGUCUGGGAAACUGCCUGAUGGAGGGGGAUAACUACUGGAAACGGUAGCUAAUACCGCAUAACGUCGCAAGAGCAAAGAGGGGGACCUUCGGGCCUCUUGCCAUCGGAUGUGCCCAGAUGGGAUUAGCUAGUAGGUGGGGUAACGGCUCACCUAGGCGACGAUCCCUAGCUGGUCUGAGAGGAUGACCAGCCACACUGGAACUGAGACACGGUCCAGACUCCUACGGGAGGCAGCAGUGGGGAAUAUUGCACAAUGGGCGCAAGCCUGAUGCAGCCAUGCCGCGUGUAUGAAGAAGGCCUUCGGGUUGUAAAGUACUUUCAGCGGGGAGGAAGGGAGUAAAGUUAAUACCUUUGCUCAUUGACGUUACCCGCAGAAGAAGCACCGGCUAACUCCGUG
rnacentral:rRNA from 1 species